rnacentral:rRNA from 1 species
AUUGAACGCUGGCGGCAGGCCUAACACAUGCAAGUCGAACGGGCGGAGGACGGGUGAGUAAUGUCUGGGCAACUGCCUGAUGGAGGGGGCUAACUACUGGAAACGGUAGCUACUACCGCAUACCAUCAGUUGUGGCCAGAUGGGAUUAGCUAGUAGGUGGGGUAACGGCUCACCUAGGCGACGAUCCCUAGCUGGUCUGAGAGGAGGACCGGCCACACUGGGACUGAGACACGGCCCAGACUCCUACGGGAGGCAGCAGUGGGGAAUAUUGCACAAUGGGCGCAAGUCUGACGCAGCAAUGCCGCGUGUGUGAAGAAGGCUUUCGGGUUGUAAAGCACUUUUAGUGAGGAGGCGUUACUCGAACAGGAAGCAACGGCUAACUCCGUGCCAGCAGCCGCGGUAAUUC